rnacentral:sRNA from 1 species
UGACCAUCACCGAGAGGAGACUGCCUCCU